AUCGCCUCUGUGUGUGCCUCUCUUUCAGAACCAAGGAGUGAACCAACACACGACCCCUUCAAUUAUGAUUAUUACUCCCUGAGAAUCGGAGGGCUGGUUUUUGCCGUCAUCCUGUUCUUGCUCGGUAUUCUCAUUGUGCUCAGUCGACGGUGCCGUUGCAAAUUCAACCAGCAACAAAGGACGGGGGAACCUGACGAGGAGGAAGGGACCCUGCGCAACUCAAUCCGGCGCUUGUCCACCAGGAUGAGAUAGAAGAAAAUCGGAACAGGCUGCCCUGGAGAUGCUGCCGUCCACUGGAUCUACACAGCGCUGCCCUCCC